UACGGGGGGGGCAAGCGUUGUUCGGAAUUACUGGGCGUAAAGGGCUCGUAGGCGGCCAACUAAGUCAGACGUGAAAUCCCUCGGCUUAACCGGGGAACUGCGUCUGAUACUGGAUGGCUUGAAUCCGGGAGAGGGAUGCGGAAUUCCAGGUGUAGCGGUGAAAUGCGUAGAUAUCUGGAGGAACACCAACGGCGAAGGCAGCUCGCUGGGACGGUACUGACGCUGAGACGCGAAAGCGUGGGGAGCAAACAGG
rnacentral:rRNA from 1 species